AGACGUUGUGGAUUUUAGGACGAUAUCGUCUUGCUUUUUAAAGGACUCAAACACCACUGGAGAGCUCAUUCGAGGAGGUUGAAGAUGACAUUACAUUGUCCGCGUCGAUGACGGUGGGGUUAAUUAGGGGUUGGUCAUUGUGACGAGUAGUAUUACUUACGGUUGAUGCAACCAUGCUCAUUCGUGAGACUAUAUAGGGAUGAUGAGGGGUGAUUAGCUAACGUGGGAUGCUCCAGAUCCAUUGAUGGAAAAUGAUUGAUUUGGUUGGUGAUUGAAUUGAUGACGAUGAACAGCUAGUCUGCAAAUAUAUAGCGCAAGAAUAGUAGGCGUUGAAAUGAAAUUUUUUAGAAUUUCAAAGAUGUAGCUAUCCUCUUCAAAGAUGCAAUUGAUGAAAACCUAGUGCGAUCAGAAAAUCGGGUCAAAGAUGCAACUAUCCUCUUCAAAGAUACAAUUUAUUAUACAGUAAUCGAAGUUCAACAUUUCCCUAGCUAUACAUUACACAUGAUUGAAUUUAGGAAAUUACACGGUGCAUGUUUCGCUUUUAGGUUUUUUUGGUGUAAUUACGGUGUCUAUCACCGACAGAAAUAACCCAUUCCUUCGUCGUGGUGCUUGCACAAGGCGGUUAAUAGCUGGGCACAAGGUGUACUCCAUUCCCAUGGGCAAGAACUAACUCCCCACCUCAUGGUUAAGGGACAAGUUGAGAAAUCAAAAAUGCCACACCUUGUGGUUUUCGAUUUUAGGUUUUUGUUAAUAGGAAUUAAAAAACAAAAACUUUUGUUAUAUGCACGAUUUAAUUGGAAAUGACGUAGACCAUCAAGUCGAAAAAUAAAUUACAUGAUUUAGCCAUUAUAACCUCCUAGAACGCGUGACGCAUGCUAGGAUGCACCGCGCGUCCUAGAAAGCUUCUAAUGACUCUAUUCUAACGACUGUUAUCAGACCGUUGGAAGCUCUCUAAAAACCGCAGCGCAUCCUAGGAUACGCCGCACGUUUUAGGGAGCUUCCUCUGGAUUUAUAAAUAAACCCCU
rnacentral:lncRNA from 1 species